rnacentral:misc_RNA from 1 species
GAUGAAGAACGUAGCGAAAUGCGAUAAGUAAUGUGAAUUGCAGAAUUCAGUGAAUCAUCGAAUCUUUGAACGCACAUUGCGCCCGCCAGUAUUCUGGCGGGCAUGCCUGUCCGAGCGUCAUUUCAACCCUCAGGCCCUGGUUGCCUGGUGUUGGGGCGCCGCGCACCCUCUGCGGGCGCGGGCCCCGAAAGUCAGUGGCGGGCUCGCCAGGACUCCGAGCGCAGUAAUUUUCUCUCGCUGUGGAGCGCCUGGUGGGUUACCAGCCGUAAAACACCCCAAAUUCUAAAGGUUGACCUCGGAUCAGGUAGGAAUACCCACUGAACUUAAGCAUAUCAAUAAGCGGAGGA